rnacentral:rRNA from 1 species
AUUGAACGCUGGCGGCGUGCCUAACACAUGCAAGUCGAGCGGUAACAGGUGUAGCAAUACAUGCUGACGAGCGGCGAACGGGUGAGUAAUGCUUCGGAAUCUACCUUAUGGUGGGGAAUAACUAGCCGAAAGGUUAGCUAAUACCGCAUACGUCCUACGGGAGAAAGCAGGGGAUCGCAAGACCUUGCGCCAAAAGAUGAGGCGAAGUCGGAUUAGCUAGUUGGUAGGGUAACGGCCUACCAAGGCGACGAUCCGUAGCUGGUCUGAGAGGACGACCAGCCACACUGGGACUGAGACACGGCCCAGACUCCUACGGGAGGCAGCAGUGGGGAAUAUUGGACAAUGGGGGAAACCCUGAUCCAGCGACGCCGCGUGUGUGAAGAAGGCCUGCGGGUUGUAAAGCACUUUUAGUGGGGAUGAAAUGUGCAGGGUUAAUACCUCCGCAUUUUGACCUAACCCACAGAAAAAGCACCGGCUAACUCUGUGCCAGCCGCCGCCGUAA